UACGUAGGGGGCAAGCGUUGUCCGGAAUCAUUGGGCGUAAAGCGCGUGUAGGCGGCCAGAUAAGUCCGCUGUGAAAUCUCGAGGCUCAACUUCGAGCUGUCGGUGGAAACUGUCUGGCUAGAGUCCGGAAGAGGAGAAUGGAAUUCCUGGUGUAGCGGUGAAAUGCGCAGAUAUCAGGAAGAACACCCGUGGCGAAGGCAGCUCUCUGGACCGUUUCUGACGCUGAGGCGCGAAAGCGUGGGGAGCGAGCAGG
rnacentral:rRNA from 1 species